AGGAGGAACAGCAACAGUGGCGGCGGCCAGCUCUCCAUCCCUAGAGUCAGUUUUUGCAGUAACUACAGAGCUCUCAGUCUGCAGGGGCCUGGAUGCUCCGGGGGCGG
rnacentral:pre_miRNA from 1 species